rnacentral:misc_RNA from 1 species
UCUCUCUCUCUCUCUCUCUCUCUCCUAUCUAUCUACCUAUCCUCUACCCUAAUUUCCUCCUUCAACCACAGUUUCGUGUUCAAGCAGCACCGAUCGGAUCGAUCAAUCUACCCAAAUUCAACAAAAUCCCCAAAGAAAAAGAAAAAGAAAAAAUCUCCUUGGAUACUUGUCCUGAUUGAUUCGUUUUCUCUGAACCUAAGAAUUUAGGAAAUUUUAUAAAUUCGGAUGGAAUUAGGGUUUUUUUGUACCUAAUUCAUUUAUUAAUUAGUCUCCGAAAUAGAUAAGGGCCGAGAGGGGGUUCUCCA